rnacentral:lncRNA from 1 species
UUUCCUGGGAGAAGGGAGGAGGUAUUUAUAGGCACAUGACGAAGUUGGAUGCCUUCGUGUCGAAGGAAACUGUGUGGCUGAGGAAGGAUGUCGUAAUGGCGAAGGAAGCUGAGUGGCUGAGAAGGAUGCCGUAAAGAAGAUGGAAGCUGAGUGGCUGAGGAGGAUGCCGCAAUGGAGAAGGAAACUGAGUGGAGUCACAUGGAUGGUGAAAGCGGACACAUGGAGGACGCAGGAGGUGGUCGUACAUUGGUGAUGGUGAUAGCGAAUCGUUUGUGCGAGAUGACAGUCGUAUGUGCGGGCGUCGGGGAAUCAAGAGAGGCCACGUAUGC